rnacentral:rRNA from 1 species
GGAUUCAGCGGCGGACGGGUGAGUAAUGCCUAGGAAUCUGCCUGGUAGUGGGGGACAACGUUUCGAAAGGAACGCUAAUACCGCAUACGUCCUACGGGAGAAAGCAGGGGACCUUCGGGCCUUGCGCUAUCAGAUGAGCCUAGGUCGGAUUAGCUAGUUGGUGAGGUAAUGGCUCACCAAGGCGACGAUCCGUAACUGGUCUGAGAGGAUGAUCAGUCACACUGGAACUGAGACACGGUCCAGACUCCUACGGGAGGCAGCAGUGGGGAAUAUUGGACAAUGGGCGAAAGCCUGAUCCAGCCAUGCCGCGUGUGUGAAGAAGGUCUUCGGAUUGUAAAGCACUUUAAGUUGGGAGGAAGGGUUGUAGAUUAAUACUCUGCAAUUUUGACGUUACCGACAGAAUAAGCACCGGCUAACUCUGUGCCAGCAGCCGCGGUAAUACAGAGGGUGCAAGCGUUAAUCGGAAUUACUGGGCGUAAAGCGCGCGUAGGUGGUUUGUU